CCCGUUAUGGUGUAGUGGCUAACAUUAUCGCCUCUCAUAAACCAAAGUUCUGGCGUGCGCGAUAGCCCACGGUUCGAUUCCCUGUAACGGAA